CAUACCAGAUUUUAUACCUUGCCAUGCCAGUGGCAACGCCACAGGCUCUUGCCAGUGCCAGGUUUUACACCCUGCCCUGGCGCACGUGGGCUUCUUUUACAUCGUUUCACCACAGCGGACAGCUGCAAAAGUCCACGGUGCUGCAGCUCGUCAAGACGCACGUGCCGCAGAUCGUACCCGAGUUGUUUCACCAGGCGAAUCCGGCCCUUCUCUACGCAUUUCCACACAAACACCGUCAAAAGAUGUUACCAGAGCUACGGUACAUAAGUUGCUGUCUAGGGAAAAAAUAUUUUAUUGUGUCGGUUUUCUUGGUUUACCUGCAAGUGCCAUGAACCUGCGAUACAUCGCCAGCAGCUGAAUGCGCAGAUCCUCGGCUGCCGGAACAUCCAGAGCGCGCAGAGAGUCAGCCGCGCCCAUCGUAUUGCGAGUACGUGCCCCAGCACCGGAAUGUCAGUUUCCUUGGGGGAACAUGUCCGCAAAUACUGGAUGAGAUAAAAUGGAAGAGAACCUCUUAUGCCAAAAAUUGGGAUAUAUUUUGAAGGAGACACUUUUCCAAGAUUUUUUCUGCGGUGCCCUUGCAACAAACCCGGCCUCCUUCAAUAAACUUUCAGUUUAGACCUUGGCGGCUCGGCCGUGUUACUUUGAUUGCCGGUUUAGAACUUUCACACUAGAUUAAUAUUAUCCCGACAAUUUUACAGUACUGUGGGAGCGUACGUACCGUUGUUGGCUUUUACGCGCAUUUCAUUAAAGUGUUCCUUUUGAACGGCUGCGGUCUGCUUGACGAAUUCCUCUAUCUCCGGACGAAAGCGCAGCGUGUUCGUAGUGCGAGCAAAGAGAGCCUUCUCGAUCUCAUCAUCAUCAGCUCUCGCCUGCGCCAAGGAGGAUCGAGCUGCAGUAUUCUUAACCAUGGCGUCUUCGAUGUAUUCUGUACCAUAAAAACCACACCUAAGCUAUGCACAGUCAAUCAUAUUACAAGAAUCAAAAAGGGUUUCUCGAGAGUCAAGAGCAGACCAGCCCAUGAAUCUCUCUAAUGAGGAACUGAAUUUAUCACUGCUGGAAAUUGUUCAUGCAACGUACCAGUAGCCGAUCUUUUGCAGUUGCGCAGAACAGUAAGGUUGAUGUGGACUUCUUGCCGCAGACUCCUGACACUUCUGCCUCGGGAACGACCGCAUGAUGCCAUUUUUUUCUCCGUCGGAACGAUCGAAACCGUGCACAACCCUUUCCCGGUGGACAAAAAUUUCGAAUUAAACGGAGCAGCACGUGGAGACUUUGGUGGCUGGUGAGACAGUUUAGCAAAUCAGCACAACUCGUGAUCCAGGGAUCCAUGCGCACGCUACGUAAUGCGUUAGACUGGCCCACGUUAGGCGUUCUGCAACAUCGUGGCCGGUGGCCACAUCACCACCGUUUAUUGUCAGCGGCUUCACGGUUUCAACCGGCCAGCUUUAAGGAUUUGACACCCACUGUUUAUCGAAGCCGUGUCGGCAGACUUUCUCCAUUCUCAUCAUUCUGCACCCUCUGGUGGCUGGAAGCCGUCAAAUCGGUGGGAACGGGUAGCUAGCAAUCUCGGUCUCCAUUCCGGUGCACGGGUGCAUACGGUAAAGUCAAAAUGUUCACUUAAUCCACCUUCCCUUGCGCUUUUUGCUUCAUCUUGACAAUCUUUUCCGUGAACUACUAUGCAGAUCUGUACUAGCUCGAUUGCGUAACUGGGCAACGGCUGCAAAGGAAAGAUAUUUCCAAGUUCUCCAGUCUUUUCUAACCUGUAAGCUUUUUUGUGUUUAGACAUUAAUUUUUUAGCACCAUCAAUACCGUACGCCGGUAGAUUAGGAAGCCUCAUUCCUGACUCAAAAAAAUUCAUUAUGGCUUAACGUCUGCGUGCACGGGUAAGCACUGGCGUUGGCUGCGUGCACGAGUGACCUUUUUGGAUCCGCACGCGUUCUGGCUGCAUGCACGGGAACGCCACGGGCUUUCGCUGCGUGCACGAAUUUUUACAUUAUUUUAUGCUUAAAUAUUUUUGAAUUUUGCAUUCUAAUUUCUAAUUGCGUAC